rnacentral:lncRNA from 1 species
CUCAAAUAUAGAUUGUUCCAAAUCACCUGGCGAUAUUUACAUACAGUGAUUUUUUCUUUCUUGCAGGAGGUGAUUUUUGGAAAAGUGGAAAACUUUUUCCCUUUGAUUCAACUAAAGACUUACGUUUUUGGAUCAACCAGGCAUUAUAAUCAAAUACAGGCUUUACACAUAUUUAAUCGGUCAAUUUAAAGUACACGAGUAAACACCUGAAUUUAGAACAAGGAGAUUAUCUGGCCGUUCUAAACAACAUUUAUUUUUAUUUUAGAAUUUCCUUUUCAUCAUUAAAAGAAUAUGUUUAAUGUCGGAAAGGAUUUGACAAUAAAUAAUGUAGUGUACAUGCUGAGAUUAAACAACUUAAUGGCCUCUCGUUAUACUUCUAAAAUGAGACCCCUACAGGAAUUAAUCUGCUGAACUGUGUGAUGUAGCCUGCGCAUGUACUAAAACUCUAGCUAAUCAAUUAUCUCAGCCAACGACAAAGGACUUUGAACGCAGCCAUUUUUAUGUGUAUGCCGCCGAACAUUAUGACAAAGUUUUCCUCACAAUACAUCCGAG